GAUUAACGCUGGCGGCGUGCAUAACACAUGCAAGUCGAACGAUGAAACUUAAAUGAUUUCUUCGGAAUGAACUUAAGUGGAUUAGUGGCGGACUGGUGAGUAACGCGUGAGUAACCUGCCUUACACAAGGGGAUAGCCGUUGGAAACGACGAAUAAUACCCUAUGAAACUAUCACUUCGCAUGAAGCGAUAGUCAAAGUGUUAGCGGUGUAAGAUGGACUUGCGUCUGAUUAGCUAGUUGGUGAGAAAAAAGCCAACCAAGGCAACGAUCAGUAGCCGGCUUGAGAGAGUGUACGGCCACAUUGGGACUGAGACACGGCCCAGACUCCUACGGGAGGCAGCAGUGGGGAAUUUUGCACAAUGGGGGAAACCCUGAUGCAGCGACGCCGCGUGAUUUAGAAGGCCUUCGGGUUGUAAAAAUCUUUUGUAUAGGAAGAAAAUGGCAGUACUAUACGAAUAAGGUCCGGCUAAUUACGUG
rnacentral:rRNA from 1 species